rnacentral:lncRNA from 1 species
GGGUCAGAGAUAUUUUUAGCUCCAUAUCAUCGAAUAAAAUAUAUAAAAAUAAUCUAUUCGAGAAUCAGAGUAGUACAUCAAAAUAUAUACCUUCAUAUCGACAUAUACGCUUUUGUAUUGAAACUUAUUAAUAAUAUUUUAUUUUUUUUGUUAUAGGAUGUUGGGACAUUCGACUUUUAUUCACCAGCUGCUGGAGAGGACGUACA